UCGCAAUCCGCCAACCGGUCAAGCCGUGUCGCGGAAGGUUUCUCAACCAGCCAAUGUCCUGGGGUACCCAGGAGUGAGGUGAGCG
rnacentral:ncRNA from 1 species